UUGAACAAAUCUGGGAGGCUGUUCCUCCGAAUCACAUCCCUCCAUCUCCAUUGUUCUCUCUCAAUCACUUAUG